UACGGAGGAUCCAAGCGUUAUCCGGAUUUAUUGGGUUUAAAGGGUGCGCAGGCGGAAGAUUAAGUCGGCGGUGAAAUUUUGCAGCUCAACUGUAAAAGUGCCAUUGAUACUGGUUUUCUUGAGUGUGGAUGAAGUAGGCGGAAUUUGUGGUGUAGCGGUGAAAUGCAUAGAUAUCACGAGGAACUCCGAUCGCGUAGGCAGCUUACUAGGCCAUAACUGACGCACAUGCACGAAGGCGUGGGGAUCAAACAGGAUUAGA
rnacentral:rRNA from 1 species